GUGGGGAAUCUUCCACAAUGGACGAAAGUCUGAUGGAGCAACGCCGCGUGAGUGAAGAAGGGUUUCGGCUCGUAAAGCUCUGUUGUCGGGGACGAAUGUGCAGUAUUUGAAUAAAGUACUGUAAUGACGGUACCUGACGAGGAAGCCACGGCUAACUACGUGCCAGCAGCCGCGGUAAUACGUAGGUGGCAAGCGUUGUCCGGAAUUAUUGGGCGUAAAGGGAGCGCAGGCGGGAAGGUAAGUCGGUCUUAAAAGUGCGGGGCUCAACCCCGUGAUGGGAUCGAAACUAUCUUUCUUGAGUGCAGGAGAGGAAAGUGGAAUUCCUAGUGUAGCGGUGAAAUGCGUAGAUAUUAGGAGGAACACCAGUGGCGAAGGCGACUUUCUGGACUGUAACUGACGCUGAGGCUCGAAAGCCAGGGGAGCGAACGGGAUUAGAUACCCGGUAGUCC
rnacentral:rRNA from 1 species